UCAUCAGCAGCAUUCUCUUCUUCAACAUCCAGCAUCUCCUGCAGAUCUCCUGCAUCAGGAGAUAUUCAAGCUCAGAGAGCCAAUUGGCCUCACUGAGUCCUGAUGAGGACCUGGACUCUGUGUUUGAAUCACAGGCUACUGUCCAGAACACAUGCAGGGCUGCUAACUAAGGUUUCAUGUAAUAUGACAGACUGCUGUUUCAUUCUACGUCAGCUCAGGCAAGAAAAGUCAUUUCAGUUGAUCUUAGAUGGGGCUUAUAUUGCAGUAGUAUAACCAGGGGAAGCCAACACAUCCAUGGUGCCAACAUGUUUUCUGCUGCACACCCCGCUGCUCCAGACCGACAGGAGGCACUCUGUCUGUCAACACCCCACCCCGCCCCAACAUCACAUCAUCAUCAUAUCCAGAGGCAGGGCAGGGUGAGGAUAUGAGGAGGAGGGUUAGGCCCAGCUGACCGAUGCCCUUUCAUUAUUGCACUGCUUGCUGCAGCUCCCACAGUAGUGCAACAGGGAAAGAGUGUCAAGCAGAGAGCGUCCUGUGAGUUUCAUCCUGGGUGACAAAGUGCAACCUGAGGACCAGAAUUCCCUCUUCAACCCGCCUGGGAGCAGAAAUCCCUCUGAUGGUCACCACUAAAUCAUCAAGUGGAGUUCUGUUUACUACUCGUUUCAGUACUUGGUGAAUCAGAAUACUGCAACUCUUUGGGAUUUUGGACUCAGUCAUUGUUUCAGAAGCAGGAAAUCUGAGACAGAAUUGUGACAUUAACAUGGUUUCAUGUUUUUGCUCCUUGGCUUCUGCAUUUUAUGCAAAUGUUUCAUUGCAAAGAAAACUUUGGUGAGUAAUGAGUGGUCUGUACAGGAGCAGACUGAGCUGACAACAGGCAUCAGAGGAUACAGCUGUACAAGCUGAACACCACAUCCUGACACAGCGACACAUACUAUUACCUUCAUCAAUAGUAUAAUGAUUUCACAGCACUGCUUCCAAAAAGUGACGUCUAUUGAGCAGUUUUUAAGCCUUUGCAAAAUACAUCAGUGAUAAGCUUUAAAAGUGCUAUGAACAUGUGCGAGUGCAUUGUUUUCAUUUUGAUUUUGUCUGAAAUGACUCUCAAUUUGAAUGAAGAUUUAAAACAUUUUUAGUGUUAUAAAAGUAAAGCUGCUGCAUUACAUUAGGACUUUUUAAAGUAUUUUAAGGGUCAGUUCAUGCAAAUGACAAAACAUAUUUUUUUUACUUUCCUCUUGAGUUAUCUAGCCAUGCAGGUAAUCUCGUCUUGUUUUGCCCACAUUUUGAGAUUUCUGUCUCCACCCCAAUAUAAUGGAGGCAAAUGAUUGUUUGUGCCACUUACAGCAUCAAAAUGAUUUUUUCUUUUCAAAAAUGUGUCUUUGUUCCUCUACUAUAGUGGUUCCCAACCUUGUGAAAAAAUCAUGGACAACAAUGACUUUAUCAUCCUAUCCCUGACAGAGUCUGAUAUGUUGUAUUUCAAAAUAUAGUAGUGUUGUCAAUAAACCUCAACCAGGGGUCAGAAGGGGAUUGUGAGGUGAUUCCUGGGAGUAGAAAAUAAGAAAAUCAAAAUCCUUCGUCAAAAAAAUUACAUUAUCUAAUACAUACAGUUCUCUUUUUUCUUAUAAAGUACUGUAUAGUUUUACCUCGUGAGCCUAAAAAUUAUUCAAAUUACAUACUCUAAUACGGAGCUGUUCUUAAUUCUCAAAUACAUGCACUCAGUAUAUUCCUGUGUAUGAAGGGCUCACAAAUAAAAAGCAGUUGGGAACCACAGCUCUACUAUUUUCAUAAUGGGACACUGUUUCUAGAGAGAGAUAUUGCUGUUGAAUCUUUUUAAAUAUCAUUUUUCAAUGCUGUGAAAAUCAUUGAAAAAUUGAGGUGAAGACCGAUGAGACAGAUACCUCAAAACCUGGACAAACCAUGGUUACAUGCAACAAUAGAGGUGAGACAGAAAUGUUUUUAUUAUAAUUGAGGUGAACCGACUCUUUCAGUGUUCGUAUCGUAUUUAUGUUUUUUUGAUUGUGUGGAUGUGAAUUAGGAAUUCCAAACGACUGACUUAUUUUGUGAGAUGUUUCCAAUAAGCACGUUAAUGAAUAAACAGCUAUGCAGGGACUCUUA